rnacentral:rRNA from 1 species
CAGUAGCCCGGGAAUACGUAGGGUGCAAGCGUUAAUCGGAAUUACUGGGCGUAAAGCGUGCGCAGGCGGUUAUAUAAGACAGAUGUGAAAUCCCCGGGCUCAACCUGGGAACUGCAUUUGUGACUGUAUAGCUAGAGUACGGCAGAGGGGGAUGGAAUUCCGCGUGUAGCAGUGAAAUGCGUAGAUAUGCGGAGGAACACCGAUGGCGAAGGCAAUCCCCUGGGCCUGUACUGACGCCCAUGCACGAAAGCGUGGGGAGCAAACAGGAUUAGAUACCCCAGUAGUCCCUGUCUCUUAUACA